GGAUACAAGUGGGCGAGGCCAACUUGCACAAAAUGAUCCAUCUUGACCAGCGAGAGGCCAUAGCCGUUAAGCGACAUGAGUGAUUUGACAAGGCCUUGCAGCUUGUGGUGCAACCAAGAGCUCCCUAAUGGUGGCCGGGAGGUUUUCCUGUUCAGCGCUGCUAGAGGACAUAAAAAAAGAGCAAAAUUUCAGUUUCAGUACUAAUGAAAAAAAAAACGGAAGAAAUCUUUUCACCUAAAAUCACAAUGUUGGUCCUUAUUGGAGCAAGAAUACUUUUCACAGAUAAUCAGAACAGAGAUCCACAUUAGAUCACAGAAACUUUCCACCUAGUCAAUAUCAGUACUGAUAUGAACCACUUUAUAAGAUUCAAAAUCAAGAAACUGUAGUAUUUAAUAGAGAUUAAAUGUGCAAACUCUAGCAGUGAACUACAUGGAUGCUAAUAAAAUAAAUGGAUUCGAUUAAACUGGAAUUUCAAAUAAAUAUACAGAGGCACCAUGAUUGCUUUACAACAUAUUCAUAUUUGCAUAAUCCAAGAAAAAAAUAGCUCUCCUCCACCUCAUCAGAAACCUUGUAGGUAGAGAGGUCAGUGAAGACACAGAUUGAGUAGGGCGUGGCUGGGAUCCACGCAAUGAUGUAGCAACAAGGUCGCCCUAUGAGUGAAUAUGCGUACAAGUGAGGAUGUGCCCACCACCACUCUUCUCCACCACCUCAUCAUCAUCAUCUUCUUCUUCCCUACUCUCAUCUUCUUCAUCAAGCAAUGGGCUAAUGCCAUCUUUUUUUCAUUGAUGUUGGUUGUCACGGGCCGGAGGCUAUUAAGCUAACACUCAAUCAGACAUUUAAAUAUUAGGUGCAGAGAAGAGAACGAGAUACACAUACCUCGCCCUUGCUCACGGAUCAACUGUAGAUGUAGUUAUAUAUCCUCCAUCCAAUACUGCAUGCCUCCGAUCCAAAGCGUCAUGACAAUCUCGCUCGGCCCAGCGGGUGGCUGUGUCAGGGUAGACGGACGACUGAAGGAGUCAACCAAAGGGAGACGACUGUGCCUGCGAAUAUGCAGCGGACUCGGGUGGUGGCUGGCCGCAGCAACGCGUAUGGCUCGUGCGGCGGGAUGGCGAUCCAAUCUUGCAGCUGCUGGGGGUGCGGACAGGCGACACCGGGCUGCGAGGUAGGGCAAUGAGAGGAGGAGGAGAUGGUAGGUGUUCCACAGGUGUCGCGGCCGGUGCGGUGCUUGCUGCGGGAGAGAGGGGCCGCCAUUGGGGGGGUGUCGGUUUGGGAGAGGGAGAUCUGUAGAUGG
rnacentral:lncRNA from 1 species